rnacentral:rRNA from 1 species
CCUACGGGAGGCAGCAGUGAGGAAUAUUGGUCAAUGGGCGUAAGCCUGAACCAGCCAAGUCGCGUGAGGGAUGAAGGUUCUAUGGAUCGUAAACCUCUUUUAUAAGGGAAUAAAGUGGGGGACGUGUCCGGUUUUGUAUGUACCUUAUGAAUAAGGAUCGGCUAACGCCGUGCCAGCAGCCGCGGUAAUACGGAGGCUCCGCGCGUUAUCCGGAUUUCUUGGGUUUAAAGGGUGCGUAGGCGGCCUUUUAAGUCAGCGGUGAAAGUCUGUGGCUCAACCAUAGAAUUGCCGUUGAAACUGGCAGGCUUGUGUAUGUUUGAGGCCGGCGGCAUGCGUGGUGUCGCGGUGCAAUGCUUAGAUAUCACGCAGAACCCCGAUUGCGAAGGCAGCCUGCCACGCCAUGACUGACGCUGAUGCACGACAGCGUGGGUAUCAAACAGGAUUAGAUACCCUAGUAGUC